UACGUAGGUGGCGAGCGUUGUCCGGAAUUACUGGGUGUAAAGCGCGUGUAGGCGGUGUGUCGCGUCGGCCGUGAAAACCUGCAGCUUAACUGUGGGCUUGCGGUCGAUACGGGCAUCACUGGAGUUCGGCAGGGGAGACUGGAAUUCCUGGUGUAGCGGUGAAAUGCGCAGAUAUCAGGAGGAACACCGGUGGCGAAGGCGGGUCUCGGGGCCGAUACUGACGCUGAGGAGCGAAAGCGUGGGGAGCGAACAGG
rnacentral:rRNA from 1 species